GGCACUUGUUGGGAUGAGCGGGUGUUAUAUGUAAGUGAUGAAUCACUAAAUUCUCCUGAAACCAACAUUCCACUAUAUGUUAACUAACUUGAAUUUAAAUUUAAAAAAAAAAUGAGAUGACUGAGAAGCAGAAUCAUCAAAAUACGUGAAUACAGAGAAGCUAACUUAUUGAAGGUACAGUAAAUGGAGAGAGGAGGAGGAAAGCUGUGGAUGAGCUCAUUAAUUAAAGCAAGAAACUGAAGUCACAAGGAGUUCAGAGAAAAUUGGAAAAGGGGGAAGAGUAAGGCUUGCGGGGAAUAGAGGGUGUCAUAAAUGAUUUAAUGCUAUUCAGGUAGUUUAAUUGUUAUUACCAGGUACUCUUCUAGUCCCUAGAGUUACAAGGUGAAAAAAAAUUGUUUCAGUCCUCAGGAACUUUAAACAACUAAGGAAGAAAUUAGGCUGUGUAGAAGAAAGCUAAUAGUAAUAUUCACUGGGCACUUACCGUUGCCUGCAUGCAACUGAUAAUCAAUACAUCCAAUGUAUUGUUUCAUUUAAUGCUCACAGUAGUCCUGUAUGGUGGGUACAUUCAGCUAGAGCAUCAAUCUGACUGUGGGCUCUUUUUUCUCACCUUUUCACCUUAAAAUUGGGAUGGUAAUAAAGCUUCUUCCACACUAGGGGCAUCUGGGUGGCUCGGUCUGUUGGGCGUCCAAUUCUUGAUUUCGGCUCAGGUCAUGAUCUCAUAGUUUGUGAGAGAGAGGCCCACAUCAGCCUCUGUACUUACAGCACGAAGCCUGCUUGGGAUUCAUUCUCUGCCCCUCCCCCCACCUCUGCCCCUUCCCAGCUCGCUAGCUCUCCUUUUCUCAAAAUAGAUAAGUAAACUUUAAAAAAGAAAAACUUCUUCUGUAAUAAAGCAGACAAAAGUUAUAGGCAUGAGGACCAAUCCAAACUCUAUUUAAAGUUAAGGAAACAGCUAGAUAUAUCUAAUAUAAAAAAAUAAUAACCCAGUAUUGGGACUAAUUCAGAAAACUAUGACAAAUGUAAAAAUUAUUGAGCUGAAAAUUUGUUCCAGAGAAAAUGGUGUCGACUUGUGUCUCCCUACUUCUCCCCACUAAAUACAACUACCAACCCUGGAAAUAAUACAAAAGACUACCAAAGGAGAACUCUAAGUGGUGGUAAGGGGAAGGUGAAUUGGUUCAGAAACCUAGGGCUAGAGAAACAGCACAGUAAUUGAGCAUCUUACAUCCCCUUACCCCAUAGAAAAAGGCGACCAAAGCCUACCUUUCUCAGCCUGGCAACAGAAGACAGCCCAGAUGUGUGCAUUUCCCCCGUGAUCAAUCCAGAGUCCCUCUGACACCUUCAGAUGAGGAAACUGAUGUUCAGGAAGUUUCUACGCCUUGCCUGUGGCUGUAAAGCUUGAAGCCAGGAUUUGACCCAGAUCAGUGUGACCCCGGAGGUCAUCUGCAGCACCAAGUACUUUAAUAACUGGUACUCAGCAGCUGUAUUCUAAGUUCCACAGGGGUGAACUCUCAGGCACUAGGCUAGGUGCCUUGCAGCAGAGGCUGGCCACAAUGGUGAGCUGGGAUGGGACCAAAGCUCCCUUCCAGAGAAGUCACCUAAAAAGAAUUUUUGCACUCCUCCCCCACCUGCCAGACUGGAAGAACUCUGAGGGCAAGAAACACAUCUCUCAUCUCUGCUUGUCCAGCCUUUACCUCAGUGCACGUUGAUGACAAGAUAGAAAAUCAUCUCAUAAGUACAUCAUAAGUCGGAAAUUUGGACAGGGCACAGCUCAGAGGGCUGGUCUCUGCUCGCUCAAGUCUGGGGCUUCUGCAGGCAAGAGGCAAACAGUGGGGGACGCUGCUCAGACUAAACCUCUCACCCGUGUUCUCAGGAUUAGUCCAGGAGCGAGGUCGUGAUGGAGAAGGGAGGCUGCUGUCAGUCUUUAUAAUGAUUCCCUGGAAGCUUCUUAAAAGUCAAGAAAGCGAGCGGUCAGAGAAGGGAGAAGGAAGCCAUCCACGGCCUUGGGAGCAAAGAGCAGUCUGAUGACGAUCAGGAAGUGCCUGAGAAUCUACAUAAGAGUUAAUCUGUUUCAAGAAAAGUGUGAGCCUGAAGCAUCACCAGCGCUCAGAUCAACAGAGGCAGGCAGGACUGGAUGAAAACGGUCAAACCAGGAUCACCAGGAACAGAAAAGAAGUUAAGGAAAUCCUCUCCCGAGUUGGAAAAGCAGUCCGUGAAGUCUUUGGCUACGGUGCCAACUGUUAGCAAGGCACUGGAACAGCUUUUCAAGGGCGUUUGAAGGAAAAACCUGCCUCUUUGAAGAUUUGCUGACCUCUUCUGUGAAUGCCAAAACAGAGCAAGUAUGGACCACAGAUCAUAUUUUUGCAUACGGACACCAAUUGUUCCAGCACCAUUGGUUGAAAAUCAUCCUUCUCCCACCACAUCGCCUUUGCGCUUCUGUCAAAAUCAACUGACCAUAUAUGCGCAUAGAAUGCGGUGCUAGGGUGGCUGAGGAGAAAGAUCCAGCUCUCAAGGAGCUCACAGUUGUGGACAGAGGCUGAUCAGUAAAGGAUCCUGGAGCACCCGCCACACGCCAGGCUUUCUGGCAGAAGUCUCGGACGGGCGUCCACAGAUGUAGAGCCUGCAAGAUCCCUUGCAUUCAAAUGAGGACUCCAAGGUGGAGGUGAACUAGACGAAGCAGAACGCGGGAUGGUGGCAGGUUAUGAGGGCUUGUGUUUGCCGUGUGCCCUGGCUGUAGACCGAAUGCUGCGACGAAACUCCAAGGUCUUCCUUGGCGCACUUUGGCAUGCCCCUUCGGCAAGACCGCUGACCCAAUCAAACUUGAAUGUGACAGUGGCAUUUAACCUCUGAAAUCAUCCAUCGGGCAUUGAUGAAACUCCCACACCCACCCGCCAUGUGCACAACCUUCCGUGGGUCGUCCAGAGGGUGUAACAGACGUGUAAGACAAAGUAGAACCAAUAAGGAAAUUUCUAGCUGGAAAUUGCCUUAGAGGGCAGUCCAAGAGCUCAACAUAAAGAUAAGGAAACUGAACCCAGAGACAGGAGGCAGAAAAGGAGAGAAGAAACUAAAAUCUAUUAAGUGCAUGGAUGUGCUGCUGGGUGGUCACCUUCUAUCUACUGUUGCCUUCGUUCGUAAUUGUGUGUGUGUGACCUUGGGACAAAUUAGGAAGUUAACAUUUAUUGAAUUUCACAUACAUUAGCAUCUGAUUUUCACAAUAAUUGCAUCGGGUUUAUAGGUAUCAUCCCUGUUUUAAAAAAAAUGAAGCCAGGGCUUACAGACGUUAAGUCUUCCUGGCUCCCCAACUGAAUGCUUAUUUGAUCUUGGAGAAGGUCGUGUAAGUCUGGGUAAAUAAGGUUGUGUAAGUUUGCACCGACAAAGUGAUGAUAGUAGCCCACCUUGCAGGGUACUUUCCGAGAUUAAGUGAGGUAGCUUAUUGAAUACCUAGUACAGCGCUGGGCAUUUGCUAGGUAAAAUUGCUGAUCUCAAAACCUUCCAUUCCACGGGAGGAGAGCCGAGACCUUACCAUGGCCCUACGGGGCCUUCACCACCUGGAAACUCCCCUUCUCUACUUGCUGACCUUUCUGACCACCCCCCCCCCCAGACCUCCCCUCGUCUCUGCCUGCUCCCUGGGCCCUGUGGCCCCUGGCAUGUGUUACACCUCAGAAACCACCUAAUUUAAAAUCGGGUCCUUACUCCUCCCUCUCCCCCGUUCAGCACGUUUAUCCCUCCUCUCUGGGUGACAGAUCUCCAAAGCACUUACUAUCGAAAAUACACUAUACCUUCAUGUGUUCUCCGUGUGCCCCACCAGAAAGUAAACUGUAAGGACAGUGAUGUAAUUGUUUUGUUUUGUCUUUGCAGAAUCCCCAGCACCCAGUAGGUGCUCAAUAAAUAUUUGCUAAAUAAAUAAAUGGAUAUUACCUUCCCCCUCUCCUUCCUCUUCCAAGGUCGCACACUUUAUUAGAUCAGAAGCCUCUGCCCUUCCAAAGGAUGCAAAAAGUAGAAAAACAAACAAACAAACAAAAACUUAACUGUAAGGAACUAUGAAGCACAUUUAAAGGGCUCCAGGACAAAAAACAUGUCCAAACCAGGGACAAGUAAUAUUACAAGUAAGGUUAUCCACUGUGUAACUCCUUCCUGAGUUUGGGAUAUCUAGGACUUUAUGUUCGGGGUGUGUGUGUGUGUGUGUGUGUGUGUGUGUUCCCAUGUAUUGUCCCGUGGGCAUGAAGACACCUGCUCUCCAACAUUCUAGUACAAGUAUCUCUUGACUGACUAGGGUGUGUUGAGCACCAGGCUCCGGGCGGGAUGAUACACAGGAUGUGUGUAUAGCUCAGUGGCAGACACAAAAGCCAACAGCCAACCUCACUACACUCUAAUAUGGUAAAUGCUAAGAGGGAACUAUAUUCUGGGGGGUCCAGAAAGGGGGCAUUUCACCCCAGAUGGGAGUUCAGAGAACAUUUCCCAGAGAAGCCUAAAAGAGGAUCAAGAGUUAGACAAGCAGGGAAGGGGCAGGAGCAUGCUCCAAGGAUCGGGUUAAGCAAACACAGAGUUAUGAAACUGUACGAUGUAUUCAGGGAACUGCAAGGCUCUUUGUGUUACUACAUCAUAAGACAUGAAGUUCAGGAUCUCUUGAGGCUUGGACUUCACUUGUGGAAUGCGAAGUGAUCCAAUUUGUUUUCAAAUAGAUCAUCCUAAUGGAGGAUGGCUUUAAUCCAGGCUUAAAGGUUUCUUCUGUCUAUUAAAGCAAGACUUGGCGACAUCUUGGAUGACACACCAGACCCUUUCCACAUGGUGACAGAAGAGGAUACAGACCCUUCAGAAAGCCUUGCAGCCUAGAGGCUAUCUGAAAAUCAGGCAGAUACCCUGGAGAGGCUGGAUGAUCUACUCCAGUCCAUGGUCAGUCAACAGGCUCACCCCAGGUCUGGCCAGCCUCCUAAGCCCAGAGAGCCCUUUAGCAGGUGAAUGAAUUUUGAGGUACCUUGAAAGUCAAAGUCACUGAAAGAGACCCAAGUGGACAUUUCAGAGCCUUCUAAGUAUAAAUGAAAGUCCUAAUAAUCUAGGACUCAACUAACCCACUUCUUGGGUCCUCUAAACCAGAGGAUCCAAGAUGGCAGCCCACUGUAUCUGCUCAUGGCUCUUUUAUCCAUCCUAUAUAAUAUUAAAAACAAACUAAACUUAAAAUCCUUGCAAACAUAGAACAAUCAGGAGAUUUCACAUAAAAACUUGGGUCCCAGUUUCUCUUCAGGAAAAAAAAAAAGUCUGAAAAUACUGAAAAUGCCAGGCCCUACAUGGGACUUUACAGGUGACCCCCAAGUCUUCAGAAGCUGACCCUCAACAUUUCUGAAUGUGUCCUCCUUGUUUAAAACCGCAGCCCCUCCUCUCCAGUCUGGGUUUAUCAGGUGACCAAGUGAGCACAUUCUUUGAAGACAAAUGAGUUCCACCAACAAACUCCCUCCUGCUAAUUACUCCGUGCUAGUGUUUGGUUAGGUGUGGAAGGUAUCUUGGAAAAGAGGGACACAAAGUUACCACACAAAGGGGAAGACAGAGAACAGGGUAGUGUCAGGUAAGGAGUUGGGGGAGACAGAGCACUCCUGAGAAUCAGAAUUCUUUCUAGUACUUACCCAGUUCUUUCAAGGCUGCAAGGCUUCAAGGCUUCAAGGAGCUGGGUAAGUAUGAAAAGGGAAAGACAUGAAAGGGGGAGGGGCAGGACAGAGGGGAGGAGCUAGAAUGGAAUGAACAUCUUGGCAGGACCUGUGAGAGGGGUAAGGAGAGAUUCCUCUCCUUUUCAAGGCUCAUGCAUAAAUGUUUAAAAGAAAAACAUUAAUAGCAAUGCACUUCUAAGUUUUAUUGCUAAUUAGAAUGUAACAUGCUUGGAAGUUUUGAAUGAGGUGUUAAGUGCAAAGUAUGCUACCUUGGGCAGGGGUGAGCUUUUUCUAGCUCAAAACUAAUGUCCCUACAAAAAAAAUUAAGGCUAAUGGAAUGCUUCACCCAGAUGGUUUGGCUCUUUGAUAUCUACAAACAUUUUGAAAACACUUAAAAUAUUUUUGAACUUUUCUGUGCAGUUGCAUUAGGUGAUGACUGUUGGCUUACUUAUUUCCUGUUUAGUUUUUCCUUUGCUCUCUCUCCAAACAACUUUUGGUUUGGAAGACUAGUCAGUUCACAAAAUUGGACUUGUGGCAUAAAAAAGUUCUGUAAUAAUGGAGACACAUGAGUGCCAACAGGUGGCUUCAUAAUCUAAGGCCUUGUGGUAAGUUCUGUUACCCUGCUGCUUGGCACGAAUUCUGAGCUUGAUAAUGGAUAUUUUGAGGUGUGCACAUUAACCACAUCAAGAUGAGGCUCUCACCCCGCUAGGAUGGGGUUUCACUGGGGCUCUGGCAGAGCCCCAAGGCUGUGCAUGAUUCCUGCACAAAUGUAACCAGCUGGUUGGCCAAAAGCUGAUAGAACAGUUAGACGAACAUUUUAGUUUCUGGUGGAGUACAAAAAGGCCAGAAAAAUCUGCUUUCUAGGGCUACCCUCGCUUUGCCCUUUACAAUAAAAGAAACCUCCCUACUCUAAAGGUCUGAUCAUCAAGCAUUGCCCUCGACACACAAGCAGAAGCUGGUAGAGGUGAGUGCCAGGUCAAAAUAUGCCCAUCCCACUGCUGGGUACAUGAGCGCUUUGUUUUCAGUUUUGUGCUGAAUCUAGCAGCAUUCUCAAAAGAAAUAAUCAUUUUGUCCUCUCAAGAGUUCAGCUGUCUGGCAAAAGUAACAGUGACUUACAAACACUUGAAAGUUUGACUCCUCAUCACCCUGAUAAGAGCUAUAACCCAAGACUUUAACCUUGGAAGCUGUUGAUGGUAUAAAAACCUUUGAUUUUCUUUAUUUAGUUUAGCAACUCAUUUCACAUAACUAUGCUUAUUAAUCCAAAGCUCUAACCCGAGAUUUUCUCCUUUCACAAGCCCCUGCUAUUUUAUCCCACAAUCGGGAGACAGUGGUGGGCAGGCCAGUAGAUUUAUUUAAAAAUUUCAGCUAAUACUGACUGACCACCUACUGUGUGUCAGAUACUUCUCAAGGCAUUUGGAAGAUGACAUGAAUGAAAGAGAUUGGAUUUUAAUAAAAGACCACAGGAACUGUUGCUUUUGAUUUUGUAAUUCAAAUCUGAUCGUAGGUACACCACAUCACCUGAAAUUACUAUAUACACAGGAAUCUUUCUAGCAAUUUCACUUGGUUGUACAGCACACAGCUCACCACCGAGCACCCAGAGCAUGCUACUGCCCCAGAGCAGAACUAUGUUAAAUGGACCUUUAAUGGGAUUAUUAAAACUUCCUCCAAAGUGUUUCAACUUGUGCCUCCAAAAAGGCAUAUCUAUCAUGCAAGAUCUAUCGAGUGAUCACUUGAAAAAAAUCAGGUUGGGCUGUCAAGAAAUACGUAAAACAAAUUUUCUUUUUGAGCUUGAUUAAUAAAAUAUAUUUAAACUCGGAGAGGGGAGUGCUAUUAUCCUUUCAAAACAGAUUUGCAAAGGGCAGUGUGUUCUGGAGUAUCACAAGGAACCGUGCUGUGUGGAAGGACGGACAUCCUCGAAAAAGGAAACGGUGUGUAUUUCCAUUUUCAGCUACAGGUAUUUCCCUUCUUUGCUUUUAUCAGAAUUGCUCCUUAUUUUUUUCUUUCAAUAAAAAGGCACUGAAUUAUUUCCAGCCCAUGUUCAAAGCUGUAUUAUUAUUUGCUUCCUUUUGUAGUUUGGACAGUCUAGAAAUAUCCAACUCAUUGCUACUUCUGGAAGAUUUAACAGAGGUGGUUAUCAAUAGACCAUUUCUCUCACAUAAAAGAUAAAGCACAUUUAUUUUUAGUGCAUUCAUCAGAUGGGUAGUUAGGCUUAAGAUUAAGCCCUAUACACAUCUGCUUUUUAAAAAUAACUAUUCUAAAUAGGAAAGUCAAAGAAUCGAGUCUCAGUCUGCAAUUCUUACAUAACAAGUAUUCUACCUGUACUUUAUUACCUAACGUCUAGAUUUCGUCAAGAAGCAACAAUCAAUAAUGGCAUAAUGCUCUACAGUUAAAAAUGUUUCCACACACCACCUUAUAAUUGAAAAAGCUAUAAAACAUUGUCCAGUGGAUAUGAUUACAUGGAUGAGACAGUAGUUUGCCUGAGGUACUGGGUCUAAUUAUCUCUACUUAACAGAUAUGUAACCAGAGGCUUGACUACCUCAAGAGAAAACAUUUGUGAGGAGGCACAGAGGGGCCUCAAGAGGCCACUAUGUAAUUUUCUAUGAGUUAUAAAGGAUUCUCAUACAAAUACAUAGUGAGCCUGUGGCAAAGAUUUACUUAACUCAUGAAUGAGGGGACCAGCAGAAGGACAAAGCUGGUUCAGAGAAAGACAUGAGGAACUAACACACACACACACACACACACACACACACACAGUGGAAAAAAGAAUGCUGUAGGAAGACUGCAGAGAUAAACAUCAAACAGGAUAAUGCCCUACAAGGCAAGAACCCAUAACUCUCAGAGUCACCUUUCCUACCGCAAAGAAAACCUCUGCAACUUAACAAGCUUUUUGAAGUUAUUUAACAUCUAACUUUAGAAGGACUGGGUCCAGGUCAAUAAUAAGUACCAAGUCAAAGUUACCUCCCCUAGAGCAUGGGUCAGCAAACUUUCUCUGUAUAAGGCGAGACAGCAGAUAUGUUAGGCAUUAUGAGCCAUUUGGUCUCCGUCACAACUACUCAACUCUGCUGUUGUCAAAUGAAAGCAACCAUAAGCAAUAAGCUUGAGGUGGGCAUGGCUGCAAUUCCAAUCAGGCUUAUUGACAGAAAACAGGUGGCGGGCUUGAUCUGACCCAUAGGACAUAGUUUGCUAAUGCCUCUAUCUUAGAACAUCAGGUGAUCCUUGGGUGCCCAGGUAGACAGUCCUCUAAGUACCACCUCAAAGUGCAGGAAUCUUUUUGCUUUAUUUCCAAGUUUUAGAUAAUUUUUAAAACAGUACCCAGGUCUUCGAACACUAAGUCCCAUGCUUUUCCCUCACUAUCUUGCUAUCUCUCUGAGGCUUACUCAGUCUUUGGAGUUCAGUUAAGAAACAAAAGACUCUACUAAAGAAAGGACAUUAAAACAGAAUUACUAAUCCUUCUCAGUCUUUCGGUUUGCUUGGUUUCACUGCCCUGAGGAAUUCUCCUUAGGACCAGUGGGAAGUCUAACGCUGAUGAAAAAUCACUGAAGCCUGCAGAAAUACAUGAUGGCCGACACUUCCAAGAUGGAGGAGCACCCAUUUGGAGGCUUGGUCAUGACGUGUCACGUGACUCACAGGGCCAGAGACCAUCUAUCACCCUCAAGACCUCAGCACUAUGUAUUUGAAGAACAGAGACCGGCAGAGGGACCAAACUUCGGCUCAUUCAAAAGCUGUUUCAUUCAAGAAACUGAGGCCUCUAGGCAAAUUAUCCCUGGAAAUUGGUGGCAGCGAGCAAUGACUAUCAUGAAAUACAGAUUCACAGAUAAUUCCUGAAUUUCUCCUUCUAUCGACCACUAAUUCCACAAAGAGCUGGUGAGGCCCUAUUGUGAAUCGGACACUGGAGAUACAGUGAAGAAACAGAUACGGCACCAGCUCUCACACGAAAAGAGAGACAAGUAACCACUACGGUAAGGGCCAGAUGAGCCCAUGUGUCACCAGUGGGUCAACAAUCGUGGGUAAGGACACCCUACAAUAAACAUUAAAACAGUGGUGUUUUAGCUUAAAAAUUUAAGACAUUUACAGAGCACUUAACUUUAAAAUACAUGUAUGAACCAAAAGGCUGAACUUCCUUGUUCCUCUGUUUUGGAAUCCUUCGUAUAUGGUACCCUAGAAACAGUUUCUGUCUAUGGUACUAGGUUUGAACAAAAGUAUUUUCGUUCCAGAUGUGUCCAAGUGUUUUAUCACUGCUACCUGUGAGAAGCAUCCUACUCUUUCCCCACAACAGUCAUUGAGUGUACUCUAUGUGUCACUCUUCGUGGGGGAGAAAAAAAGGUGUUGACAGAGAAUAUGGCACCUGAAGGUGUGAAGGGGGACAGGACGAUGGCAGCCACAGCCCGCUCUGCUGUGAAGUCUACAGAGAUACUGCUUUCCCGGCUUCUCCCGCCGGGGUAUCCGUCUCACUGCCACCACGGGAGAAAUGAACCACAAAUGGAAUAAGGUGAUUCUUCACCUCUAAAUAAAUACUAACGAGAUCCAGCCCCUGCAGAGGUGGUGGUCCCGAGCCUCUGCUAUAGGCUACAGGAAGCAGCUGAAGGAUUGUGAGCAGGACGUGACAUGGCAUGUUUUACUUUGGACAGAUCUCACUGGUGGUUGUGUGGAAAGGAUGGAUUCGAGAUGAAUAAGACAGAAGCAAAAACCAUGAGAUUUCUCCAGGGGGAAGGGUAAAAUGAUGGAAGGAAGCAGAGACAGCCAAGGAGAGACCCCCUCCGAGAAAGAGAGUCAAAAUAAGAAUGUCCCCAAUGGUAGAGAGUGAACCAGCAAAGUGCAAUAUGAGAAAAGCCCAGGGAAGAGGACAGUGCGUACAAUAUGGUCUCAAUCAUCUUGGAAUGGAGACAAAAGGCCGUCACAUGCCCAAUAAAUCUCUCUGGAAAAACUUAGGACAGUCCUUUUUGCACCCCCUGGUCAGAUGAAAUGAAGAGUUACCAUCCAUGUUCCAGUUCUCCAUGUGCUUUCACCUCCCUUCCCUAGGAAACCUCAAUUCUUUCAACCUUCUCUUGAAGGUUUUAUUUUCAUUCUCUACUCUAAUUUCCAUUGCCUUCUCAGGAAACCUGCCAACUGUUUCCACAUCUUGCUUACGUUGCCAAGCUCAGAGAUGAAGAGGAUUCUAAUAGGGAUUUGACAAACGUCGAGUAUAAUAUACAGAAGGUUAACUUUUGGUCCGUACAAGUUAAGCUCCUAUUAUACAUUCUAGUCCCGUAUUUACUCUGGAAAUGGAUGUACUGCAUUCAGGAUCACCCUUUAUUUUAUGGUCCCUUUCAAACUUUGUCUGCCAUAAGAUGUCAAAAGGUAUGCUUUUCUUAUUCUUCGUAGUAGGAAGAAUUCAAAUACAAUAGAAUGUCUCAGAAUGAAAUCAAUUCAGCCUGUGUAAGAUGGCUAACAUUAUACCAGAAAAACAUAAUGGUCAUAUUUUGGUACCAGUGUCACUUUAGAAAAAAAUCUGCAACAAAGAUUUCUAAGACCUCAUGAAUCACACUUAUUAGAAGAAACAAUCUUACAAACCCCCCAAGAUAAUAAGACAAUUUGAGUGGUAUUUUUUUUGAGAUUUAACCUAAAAUUUUUCUAAAAAUUUUUUUCUAAAAAAAAAAAAAAUCAGGAAGGCUUUUAGAAAAUAGUGAAGACAGGUCUCUGAAAAAAGUACUUAGGAGGAAAAAAUACAUUUUUUCAAAGAGCCUAAAACUGUGAGAAGAACAAGAGGCUAUUUCAGAAAAAAAGUUACUCCUUUUUUUUGUUUUUCAUCUCAUAAAACAUUAUUUCAUGAUGGCUAUUUCCUCCUGGUCUUAUAGUUCAAGAUUGCCCCCCAAUUAGCAAGCACGUGAAUGGAUGUAGUUCUAUGUAUUUUAACACCUGUAUACAUUUGUGCGACCACCGCCACAAUCAAUACAGAACAGUUUCAUCACCCCCAAAAUUCCCUUGGGCUGUUCCUCUGGAGUCACACCCUCCCCCAUCCCUAACCCCCGGCAACCAUGGAUCUGGUCUCCAUCCGAUAGUGUAGUCAUUUCAGAACGUCGCAUAAAUAUAACCAUACCAUACGCAACCUUUUGAAACGGGCUUCUUUCACUCAGCAGAAUGCCUACAAGAUUCAUCCAAGUUGUCAUGUGCAGAUGUCCACAAUUCAUUCCUAUUUACUGCGGACAAGUAUUCCACUGUGUGGAUGAACUACAAUUUGUUUCCAGCAGGUAACCACUGAUCUUUGUUUUUAAGACUCCUUCCAGAGACUUUUUCUAACACGGCCAUAUAAUAUCCCACUGUGUAACGACACACCAGCCCUCCACUGAUGGGCAUUCGGUUGUUUCAGACUUUUUGCUGUUACAAGUAUCUCUGCAGCGAAGAGCCCAAUACACAUGCCUCGCAUAUACAACUGCCUCUGUGGAGACAUGUAGAAAAAUAGAUGCAUGGGUCGCAGCCUCCACGUCAGCUUUCUCAGAACUCAAAAGAUCAACUUUCUCAAGGACACGAACAGUGUUCAUUAUUUCAUCUAUGUAUCCUCGCUUAGACCGGUAAUGGCCUCCACAGUCAGCCGUAAAGAUGACAAAGACACAGUUCUGUCACGUAAGUUUCCUUUGGCACUGUGAACUUUUAUACUGGCUGAUGCAACGUCUUUGCCUUCUAAGUCCAAUACCUGAGCCUCCUCGGGGGAGUUUCUAUAGACUAUUUUUGUUCCUGAGUACGAGCCACACUUUCCCAUUUCUCUGGAUGUCUUGAAUUUUUUUUCAUUGCAGGUGGACACUGUGCCUAAUAAAAUGUGGCGACCAGGGAAAUCAGGAUUCCAA